rnacentral:rRNA from 1 species
UUGACCUCGGAUCAGGCAGGGAUACCCGCUGAACUUAAGCAUAUCAAUAAGCGGAGGAAAAGAAACCAACAGGGAUUGCCUCAGUAACGGCGAGUGAAGCGGCAACAGCUCAAAUUUGAAAUCUGGCUCUUUUAGGGUCCGAGUUGUAAUUUGUAGAGGAUGCUUCGGCGUCGGCUCCGGUCUAAGUUCCUUGGAACAGGACGUCAUAGAGGGUGAGAAUCCCGUAUGUGAUCGGUUGCCCUUGCCAUGUGAAGCUCCUUCGACGAGUCGAGUUGUUUGGGAAUGCAGCUCUAAAUGGGAGGUAAAUUCUUCUAAGCUAAAUACUGGCCAGAGACCGAUA